CGCGUAGGUGGUUUGUUAAGUUGGAUGUGAAAGCCCCGGGCUCAACCUGGGAACUGCAUCCAAAACUGGCAAGCUAGAGUACGGUAGAGGGUGGUGGAAUUUCCUGCGUAGCGGUGAAAUGCGUAGAUAUAGGAAGGAACACCAGUGGCGAAGGCGACCACCUGGACUGAUACUGACACUGAGGUGCGAAAGCGUGGGGAGCAAACA
rnacentral:rRNA from 1 species